GCCGAAGUGGCGGAAUUGGCAGACGCGGCGGACUCAAAAUCCGUUGUCCUCAAAAGACGUGUCGGUUCGACCCCGACCUUCGGCACCG
rnacentral:tRNA from 1 species